GGGGACAGAAGGAGGGGACACAGGGACACGGUGACAUGGGGACAGAGAGGGGACACACGGACACAGAGGGGACACAGGGACAUGGUGACACGGGGACAUGGGGACACAGAGGGCACACAGGGACACAGGGGGACAGAAGGACAGAGAGGGGACACAGACACGGAGAGGGGACACAGGGACACAGAGGUGACACAGGGACACAGAGGGGACACAGGGAUACACAGAGAGGGCACAGGGACACAAAGAGGGGAUGCAGGGACACAGAGGGAGGACAGAGGUGACACACAGGGACACAGAGGUGACACAGGGACAUGGAGAGGGGACACAGGGACACAGAGGUGACACAGGGACACGGAAAGAGGACAACAGGGACACACAGAGAGGGCACAGGGACACAGAGGUGACACAGGGACAUGGAGAGGGGACAGAGGGACAAACAGAGGGGACACAGGGACACAGAGGGGACACAGUGACACAGAGAGGGGACAGAGGGACACAGAGGGAGGACAGAGGGACACACAGAGGUGACACAGGGACACACAGAGGUGACACAGUGACACAGCAGUGACACAGUGACACAGAGAAGGGACACAGGGGGUCAGGGCGUGGCCGGGCAGCUCGGGGCUCCCCCCGGUCCCCCCGUACCUGCUGCAUCAGCUCCAGCAGGGUCUCGAAGCGCUGCCGCCGCUGCCCCUCGGGCUCCCC